GUUGCAAGUUCACAUAAACAACAGUUUUAAAAAUAGCUCGGUCAAGGGCUCAAUCUCUCCCCUCCGCAGAGCCUCCUUAAGUAUUUACAAAUAACUUACAUGAAGUUUCCUGAACAAAAGUGAGCGCGCGCGGUGUGAUGGGAAGAUUCCUUUCGCGCUCACUUUUCCCUCACUAGAAACUUCAUGUAAGCCUCUGCGGAGGAGAGAGAGAGGGCUCAAUAUAAAUAUAAAGGUCAAACGCACGUAACAAAUCCAUAAUUAUCCAUUAUCGAUUUCUUCGAAUUUC